rnacentral:sRNA from 12 species
AGCCUAAACCUUUAGAAAUAGAGGCAUGGUGAAUAAAGUCUAGUGAAGCUUAAAGAACCCAUCAUGGGGUCGCUUCACUAGCCAUAUAGGGAAACCUAUAUGAGAGACUUAGGUCUCU